GUGAAUAUAGCGCAUCUCUUCGGAGAGCGUGACCUCCACUUUCAACUCUGUGCAUUUUUUGGCAGUAGGGAACGAGACCGAAGCGACGCAAGUUGCAGACUCUCGCCUCUUGCGGCUCAUUUUAAACACUAGUUAAAGUAUGUAACGAAAUAUCGAAACAAAAA
rnacentral:misc_RNA from 1 species